ensembl:lncRNA
CUCUUGGUGACACCUGUACCUGGAGUGCCCAGUAGGCACUAGUGUGGGAAGUAUUUGAUCUGCUGGACUGUGUUUGGUCACAGACUUUAUUGAAUGCCUGCCAUGCGUUGACUCCAGAGAGAUGAAGCCGACUUAGACUCAGCCUGUCCUCUAGGAAUUCACAGAUAACAAGAAGAAAGUGCCCAAGACAUCUAAUUAGACUCAGCCUCUGACGCUCACUGGAACCCACCUGAAUCAGCUGCUCCCCAGAAGAAGAUUACUACACACAAGGUGGACUGACCCAGGCCGCUCCUUGGCCCAGAUCUGCAGUUUAGACCCCACCCUGUCAUCAGCUGCCUUGAAGUGGUCUUACAAUCAUGUCCCUGCAGUGCCUGUGGCAGGCAUCAUGCAAGUUGCCCUUGAAGAUACCCAGAUGUCUUGGUGACAGGUUCCUGACCACCUGGAUGAGAGGUGGGCCAUCAGAUCGAUAUCACACAGGGGCCGUGAGCCCAGACUGCAGGCAUGUGCAUGUGAGGUUGGAGGUGGUGGAAAGAAGGCAGAUCCUUUGGCUACGCCCAAAGUGCCUGGCAACAAAGAGUGUCCAGCUCACAUUUCAAAUCUUUCCUUUCCUCUUCUUUCUCCUUCCUCACUGGCUACGGCCAUCCAUAAAGAGCUCCAAGCCCUCAUGCAUAGAGGGUGUUCAAUGAGUGGGGAAGGCCCAGUCUGUGCUGGAGGGACAGCUGCCUCCACGUUCAGAGACCUGCAGCUCGUAAGACAAAGUUUGUCCCCCAGCUGUUUCUUCAUCAUCACCCGGUAUCCCUUGAAAUUUGCUGACUCUUCAUUUUCGUGGUGAGGGGCCUUAUAUUCUGGUUGGAAGGGAGGACGGGGGGAUAGGAAGGAUUGUGAGAAACGUGGUUCUCUAUUUUCAGAAUAAAGAACUUCAGCCUCUCCACUUCCCCAAGUGAGGCUUUCCCUACAGGCACAUUUUCUGGUUCAGAGGCUGCCCAAGAAGGACAGUGAGGGUCAUUUCAAAUCACAUCUCGUUGCUCUCUGAGACCUGGCUUCCCAGAGAUAAGGCGUGGUCGUCUGGAAAGGAGCCUGUUGGAUAGGCGAAGUUCUGCUGGACCACAUUCCAAGGAACUCGUCUGACACUCCACUCUUCUGAGAUUGGCUCCCAUUAGCAGUUACUGGAAACAAGCAGGUUGUCAACAGGGCACGGCCAGGAGUGUGGUGUGUAGUAGAGCGUUUCAUGGGGUAGACCACUGAUGAGGUGCAGACAUGAACCCAGAAGUCCAGCAAGGCAGCAGCGAUGGGCCUGAUAGGGUCUGAGGAUUUCUCCUCCAGGAGCUCCUGGCCGGGCCAGGGCUCCUCUGUCGGUUUGCUCAGCAUCGACAGAGCCCAGCUCGAGACUUAGAUUCUUGAUCCGUCAGAGAUGCACGGCAACUCAACUGCAGAAAGCAGGGUGGGGAAGCUGUAUUACAAGUCAUAACAAGUUCACUGGAAACAUGGGCCAGAUGCUUGCUUCUAAAAAGAAAUGCUCCUCUCAAAGCAGGGCUCUUUCGAGUGCACCCCGAGAUGUGCCUGGGUGGGUCCUUCCUCUGUGUCUUUCUGUCUAUGCCAGGGUCUCGAUGUCUGUAGCCACUGUGAGACACACCCCUGCUAAGAGACUGCUUACAGCAGGGCCGCGCAUCCUUUCUGAG